rnacentral:rRNA from 1 species
AGAGUUUGAUCAUGGCUCAGGGAUAAACGCUGGCGGCGUGCAUGAGACAUGCAAGUCGAACGGUCAAUCGGGCUUGCUCGAUUGAUAGUGGCGGACGGCUGAGUAACGCGUAGGUGACCUGCCCCGAAGUGGGGAAUAACUGCCCCGAAAGGGUGGCUAAUACCGCAUGUGGUGUCACGUUCGUUCGUGACUCCAAAGUCGUAAGGCGCUUCGGGAGGGGCCUGCGUCCGAUUAGCUCGUUGGUGAGGUAACGGCUCACCAAGGCGACGAUCGGUAGGUGGUCUGAGAGGACGAUCACCCAGACUGGGACUGAGACACGGCCCAGACUCCUACGGGAGGCAGCAGUCGGGAAUUUUGGGCAAUGGGCGAAAGCCUGACCCAGCAACGCCGCGUGAGGGAUGAAGGCCUUCGGGUCGUAAACCUCUUUUCUCAGGGACGAUAAUGACGGUACCUGAUGAAUAAGCCACGGCUAACUACGUGCCAGCAGCCGCGGUAAUACGUAGGUGGCGAGCGUUGUCCGGAUUUACUGGGCGUAAAGAGCGCGCAGGCGGUCGUACAAGUCGAAUGUGAAAGCCCCCGGCUCAACUGGGGAGGGUCAUUCGAUACUGUUCGACUCGAAGGCAGGAGAGGGAAGCGGAAUUCCCGGUGUAGUGGUGAAAUGCGUAGAUAUCGGGAGGAACACCAGUGGCGAAGGCGGCUUCCUGGCCUGUUCUUGACGCUGAGGCGCGAAAGCUAGGGGAGCAAACGGGAUUAGAUACCCCGGUAGUCCUAGCCGUAAACGAUGGACACUAGGUGUUGGCGGUAUCAACCCCGCCAGUGCCGUAGC